rnacentral:rRNA from 1 species
UUGAACGCUGGCGGCAUGCUUUGCACCUGCAAGUCGGACGGCAGCACAGAGAAGCUUGCUUCUUGGGUGGCGAGUGGCGAACGGGUGAGUAAUAUAUCGGAACGUACCGAGUAAUGGGGGAUAACUAAUCGAAAGAUUAGCUAAUACCGCAUAUUCUCUGAGGAGGAAAGCAGGGGACCUUCGGGCCUUGCGUUAUUCGAGCGGCCGAUAUCUGAUUAGCUAGUUGGUGGGGUAAAGGCCUACCAAGGCGACGAUCAGUAGCGGGUCUGAGAGGAUGAUCCGCCACACUGGGACUGAGACACGGCCCAGACUCCUACGGGAGGCAGCAGUGGGGAAUUUUGGACAAUGGGCGCAAGCCUGAUCCAGCCAUGCCGCGUGUCUGAAGAAGGCCUUCGGGUUGUAAAGGACUUUUGUCAGGGAAGAAAAGGCUGUUGCUAAUAUCGACAGCUGAUGACGGUACCUGAAGAAUAAGCACCGGCUAACUACGUG